GAUGAACGCUGGCGGCGUGCCUAAUACAUGCAAGUCGAGCGAACAGACGAGGAGCUUGCUCCUCUGACGUUAGCGGCGGACGGGUGAGUAACACGUGGAUAACCUACCUAUAAGACUGGGAUAACUUCGGGAAACCGGAGCUAAUACCGGAUAAUAUAUUGAACCGCAUGGUUCAAUAGUGAAAGACGGUUUUGCUGUCACUUAUAGAUGGAUCCGCGCCGCAUUAGCUAGUUGGUAAGGUAACGGCUUACCAAGGCAACGAUGCGUAGCCGACCUGAGAGGGUGAUAGGCCACAAUGGAACGGAGACACGGUCAAGACUCCUAAGGGAGGCAGCAGUAGGGAAUCUGCCGCAAUGGGCGAAAGCUUGACGGAGCAACGCCGCGUGAGUGAUGAAGGUCUUCGGAUCGUAAAAAUCUGUUAUUAGGGAAGAACAAAUGUGUAAGUAACUAUGCACGGCUUGACGGUACCUAAUCAGAAAGCCACGGCUAACUACGUG
rnacentral:rRNA from 1 species